AGAGUUUGAUCAUGGCUCAGGACGAACGCUGGCGGCGUGCUUAACACAUGCAAGUCGAACGGAAAGGCCCUUCGGGGUGCUCGAGUGGCGAACGGGUGAGUAACACGUGGGUGAUCUGCCCUGCACUUUGGGAUAAGCCUGGGAAACUGGGUCUAAUACCGAAUAGGACUGCGCUCUUCAUGGGGUGUGGUGGAAAGCUUUUGCGGUGUGGGAUGGGCCCGCGGCCUAUCAGCUUGUUGGUGGGGUAAUGGCCUACCAAGGCGACGACGGGUAGCCGGCCUGAGAGGGUGACCGGCCACACUGGGACUGAGAUACGGCCCAGACUCCUACGGGAGGCAGCAGUGGGGAAUAUUGCACAAUGGGCGCAAGCCUGAUGCAGCGACGCCGCGUGAGGGAUGACGGCCUUCGGGUUGUAAACCUCUUUCAGCACAGACGAAGCGCAAGUGACGGUAUGUGCAGAAGAAGGACCGGCCAACUACGUGCCAGCAGCCGCGGUAAUACGUAGGGUCCGAGCGUUGUCCGGAAUUACUGGGCGUAAAGAGCUCGUAGGUGGUUUGUCGCGUUGUUCGUGAAAACUCACAGCUUAACUGUGGGCGUGCGGGCGAUACGGGCAGACUUGAGUACUGCAGGGGAGACUGGAAUUCCUGGUGUAGCGGUGGAAUGCGCAGAUAUCAGGAGGAACACCGGUGGCGAAGGCGGGUCUCUGGGCAGUAACUGACGCUGAGGAGCGAAAGCGUGGGGAGCGAACAGGAUUAGAUACCCUGGUAGUCC
rnacentral:rRNA from 1 species